UACGUAGGGUGCGAGCGUUGUCCGGAAUUAUUGGGCGUAAAGGGCUCGUAGGCGGUCUGUCACGUCGGGAGUGAAAACUCGGGGCUCAACCCCGAGCCUGCUUCCGAUACGGGCAGACUAGAGGUAUGCAGGGGAGAACGGAAUUCCUGGUGUAGCGGUGAAAUGCGCAGAUAUCAGGAGGAACACCGGUGGCGAAGGCGGUUCUCUGGGCAUUACCUGACGCUGAGAAGCGAAAGCAUGGGGAGCGAACAGG
rnacentral:rRNA from 1 species